rnacentral:rRNA from 1 species
GAGUUUGAUCCUAGCUCAGAUUGAACGCUGGCGGCAGGCCUAACACAUGCAAGUCGAACGGCAGCGCGGGGGCAACCCUGGCGGCGAGUGGCGGACGGGUGAGGAACACAUAGGAAUCUACCCUGUCGUGGGGGAUAACGUAGGGAAACUUACGCUAAUACCGCAUACGACCGAGAGGUGAAAGCGGCGGACCGCAAGGCGUCGCGCGAUUGGAUGAGCCUAUGUCCGAUUAGCUAGUUGGCGGGGUAAGAGCCCACCAAGGCGACGAUCGGUAGCUGGUCUGAGAGGAUGAUCAGCCACACUGGAACUGAGACACGGUCCAGACUCCUACGGGAGGCAGCAGUGGGGAAUAUUGGACAAUGGGCGCAAGCCUGAUCCAGCAAUGCCGCGUGGGUGAAGAAGGCCUCGG